CUGCUGGGCCGGUGAAUCGAGAUGAAUUUUGUCAACUUGUACUCUGUGCUUUCGAGUGUUUGAGCUCUUGGGCCCUGUGACUGUGCUGAAAGUUCAAAAGGAAAUAAACUGAGAGAGACCGUGAAAUGAUUCUCUGACUGCUCAGAUCCCAGAGGAAGUGCCAGUUCCAUACCUAGCAGUGGAGCAGCACAACCACACUGUGCUUUUGGCACGCUGGAGACACGCCAGAGCUCUGAAAACACCUCCUGAUGGCAGCUGGAAAACAUCCAGUGGUCUAUGGACGUGGACUUACAAUAAUGAAAUUAAAUUGCUUUGUGCUGUCAGAGGGCAUGCUGGUGAUACUAGUGUGAGUUCAUGAAUAGCAGAUUGGAGCUGCUUCUGUAAGAAACUUUAAAGUUUACUUGGAAAAAAAGAAAAAGUUAUUAAAUAUCUCUUAAGCACAAAUGCAUAGCCUGGUGAUAGAGUCUCUGUGAGCAUUUCAAAGCCACUUGUUAAAAUGUGAGUUAAAUGGGUGCAGAAACAAAGUAACCUAAAACAAGGGAUUAUACAGUUCUCCUCCAGGCCUCCCCUCCUGGAGGAAUUCUAAUAUUUUACUACUCUCUAGCACUCCUAAUACAACAGUUGUGGCACUGGAGAAAAUCCCAGUUUUAAUGUCCCCACCAACAGAAGAUCAUGCCCUCUAAUUAUACAUUUUUAAUAUACCUUUGUCAGAUUUGUUAAUGAUAAGAAUUUUCUUUGCAUCACAGAAAAGACCUGCUGCCUGAAAUGAAGGGG
rnacentral:lncRNA from 1 species